AUGGAUGAGUCUACGUUGGGGAGUCUUAGACGUAGAGUGCCUAUUCUUGAUGGAGAGUUCUUUCAUGAGUGGAAAAAUGAAAUGCUUGAGAUUUUCAAUGAAUAUCAUUUGAACAAGUACAUUACUAGCCCUUGUGCACCUCAUGUUGAUCCUUUGCAUCCUACCCUUGAUGAGUCUAUUGACAUGAUCCGCAACCUUAGAACUAUCAAUCUUAUCACUAGAGGCUUGCCUAGAAAGUUGAUUGGAUGUUUGCCUACUCUUGAUUGUGCCUACAUGAAGCAGCACAAAGUUUGUGGAGGAGCAACUCCACCUUGCUACUACAAUGUGUACAACACAAGUGUUGAAGGAACAGCUUCAACGUGCUGCGCUAGAUAUCGCUCUAGAGGCGAAUGUAGGUUGAUAGGGCAGCAAGAGUUCAAUCCAGAACUCCUAGGGCACAAGAUCUACUCCAAGAUCUUAGAUAAGAACAACAAGUUCUAUUAUAGGUAG
rnacentral:rRNA from 1 species